UGCCCUGUUCAUGCUUGUAUGUUGUGUGCAUGGAAUAAUGGAAUAGGACCUCGGUUCUAUUUUGUUGGUUUUCGGAAUCUGAGGUAAUGAUCAAUGGGGACAGGCGGGGGCAUUCGUAUUGCGACGUUAGAGGUGAAAUUCUUCGAUCGUCGCAAGACGGACCGAAGCGAAAGCAUUUCCCAAGUAUGUUCUCGUCGAUCAAGAAAGAAAGUUAGAGGUUCGAAGGCGAUCAGAUACCGCCCUAGUUUUAACCAUAAACUAUGCCUGCCAGCGAUCCGCCGAAGUUCCUCCGAUGACUCGGCGGGCAGCUUCCGGGAAACCAGAGCUUUUGGGUUCCGGGGGAAGUAUGGUUGCAAAGCUGAAACUUAAAGGAAUUGACGGAAGGGCACCACCAGGAGUGGAGCCUGCGGCUUAAUUUGACUCAACACGGGAAAACUCACCAGGCCCGGACACCGGAAGGAUUGACAGAUUGAGAGCUCUUUCUUGAUUCGGUGGGUGGUGGUGCAUGGCCGUUCUUAGUUGGUGGAGCGAUUUGUGUGGUUAAUUCCGAUAACGAACGAGACUCUAGCCUUCUAAUUAGGCGUACCCGGUAUCCACAAUCGUGAUACCGGCGAUCAAAUUUCUUCUUAGAGGGACAGGCGGCUUCUAGCCGCACGAGACUGAGCAAUAACAGGUCUGUGAUGCCCUUAGAUGUCCUGGGCCGCACGCGCGCUACCCUGAAGGAAUCAGCCUUUUCCCCUCGGAAAGGACCGGGUAAUUCUAAGGCCUCCCCCCUGUUAGGGAUUGGGUUUGCGGAUGUUCACCCCCUGGGGGGCCGCGGACU
rnacentral:rRNA from 1 species